rnacentral:tRNA from 1 species
GCCCCAGUGGCGCAAUCGGUUAGCGCACGGUACUAAUAAUGCCGGGGUUGCGAGUUCGAGCCUCGCCAGGGGCA